AUUGAACGCUGGCGGCAGGCCUAACACAUGCAAGUCGAGCGAGCGGCGGACGGGUGAGUAAUGUCUGGGAAACUGCCUGAUGGCGGGGGAUAACUACUGGAAACGGUAGCUAAUACCGCAUACCAUCAGAUGUGCCCAUAUGGGAUUGGCUAGUAGGUGGGGUAAUGGCUCACCUAGGCGACGAUACCUAGCUGGUCUGAGAGGAUGACCAGCCACACGGGGACGGAGACACGGUCCAUACUCCGACGGGAGGCAGCAGUGGGGAAUAUUGCACAAUGAGGGCAAGCCUGAUGCAGCCAUGCCGAGUGAGUGAAGAAGGCCUUCGGGUUGUAAAGCAAUUUCAGCGGGGAGGCGUUACCCGCAGAGGAAGCACCGGCUAACUCAGUGCCAGCCGCCGCGGUAAUAC
rnacentral:rRNA from 1 species